UGGGGAAUAUUGGACAAUGGGCGCAAGCCUGAUCCAGCCAUGCCGCGUGAGUGAUGAAGGCCCUAGGGUUGUAAAGCUCUUUCACCGGUGAAGAUAAUGACGGUAACCGGAGAAGAAGCCCCGGCUAACUUCGUGCCAGCAGCCGCGGUAAUACGAAGGGGGCUAGCGUUGUUCGGAUUUACUGGGCGUAAAGCGCACGUAGGCGGACUAUUAAGUCAGGGGUGAAAUCCCGGGGCUCAACCCCGGAACUGCCUUUGAUACUGGUAGUCUUGGGUUCGAGAGAGGUGAGUGGAAUUCCGAGUGUAGAGGUGAAAUUCGUAGAUAUUCGGAGGAAAACCAGUGGCGAAGGCGGCUCACUGGCUCGAUACUGACGCUGAGGUGCGAAAGCGUGGGGAGCAAACAGG
rnacentral:rRNA from 1 species